GAUGAACGCUGGCGGCGUGCCUAAUACAUGCAAGUCGAGCGAACAGACGAGGAGCUUGCUCCUUCGACGUUAGCGGCGGACGGGUGAGUAACACGUAGGUAACCUACCUAUAAGACUGGGAUAACUUCGGGAAACCGGAGCUAAUACCGGAUAAUAUUUCGAACCGCAUGGUUCGAUAGUGAAAGAUGGCUUUGCUAUCACUUAUAGAUGGACCUGCGCCGUAUUAGCUAGUUGGUAAGGUAACGGCUUACCAAGGCAACGAUACGUAGCCGACCUGAGAGGGUGAUCGGCCACACUGGAACUGAGACACGGUCCAGACUCCUACGGGAGGCAGCAGUAGGGAAUCUUCCGCAAUGGGCGAAAGUCUGACGGAGCAACGCCGCGUGAGUGAUGAAGGUCUUCGGAUCGUAAAACUCUGUUAUUAGGGAAGAACAAACGUGUAAGUAACUGUGCACGUCUUGACGGUACCUAAUCAGAAAGCCACGGCUAACUACGUG
rnacentral:rRNA from 1 species